rnacentral:rRNA from 1 species
GACGAACGCUGGCGGCGUGCUUAACACAUGCAAGUCGAACGAUGAAGAAGAGCUUGCUCUUCGGAUUAGUGGCGAACGGGUGAGUAACACGUGACUAACCUGCCCCUUUCUCUGGGAUAACGCUCCGAAAGGAGUGCUAAUACCGGAUACUCACAUCGAGGCACAUGCCUUGAUGUGGAAAGUUUUUCGGAAAGGGAUGGAGUUGCGGCCUAUCAGCUUGUUGGUGAGGUAACGGCUCACCAAGGCGACGACGGGUAGCCGGCCUGAGAGGGCGACCGGCCACACUGGGACUGAGACACGGCCCAGACUCCUACGGGAGGCAGCAGUGGGGAAUAUUGCACAAUGGGCGAAAGCCUGAUGCAGCGACGCCGCGUGAGGGAUGAAGGUCUUCGGAUUGUAAACCACUUUCAGUAGGGACGAAGCGAAAGUGACGGUACGUGCAGAAGAAGGACCGGCCAACUACGUGCCAGCAGCCGCCGUAA